rnacentral:rRNA from 1 species
GAUGGGCAUGCGUCUGAUUAGCUAGUUGGUAGGGUAACGGCCUACCAAGGCGACGAUCAGUAGGGGUUCUGAGAGGAUUAACCCCCACACUGGUACUGAGACACGGACCAGACUCCUACGGGAGGCAGCAGUGAGGAAUGUUGGUCAAUGGGCGCAAGCCUGAACCAGCCAUCCCGCGUGAAGGAAGAAGGCCCUACGGGUUGUAAACUUCUUUUCUGUUUGAAGAAUAAGCUCGUCGAGACGAGUGAUGCCGGUAGGACAGGAAUAAGCAUCGGCUAACUCCGUGCCAGCAGCCGCGGUAAUACGGAGGAUGCAAGCGUUAUCCGGAUUUAUUGGGUUUAAAGGGUGCGCAGGUGGUUUAAUAAGUCAGUGGUGAAAGUCUGGCGCUUAACGUUAGGAUUGCCAUUGAUACUGUUAGACUUGAAUAUGGAUGAGGUAGGCGGAAUGUGUAGUGUAGCGGUGAAAUGCUUAGAUAUUACACAGAACACCGAUUGCGAAGGCAGCUUACUAAUCCAUCAUUGACGCUGAGGCACGAAAGCGUGGGGAUCAAACAGGAUUAGAUACCCUGGUAGUCCACGCUGUAAACGAUGAUCACUCGCUGUUUGCGAUAUACAGUAAGCGGCUAAGCGAAAGCG